GUUUGAUCCUGGCUCAGAGCGAACGUUUGCGGCGGGCUUAACACAUGCAAGUCGAACGAGAAUCCCUUCGGGGAGGAAAGUGGCGCACGGGUGCGUAACACGUGGAUGACCUACCCCUUGGUUCGGGACAACAGCGGGAAACUGCUGCUAAUACCGGAUGUGUCGUAGCAAUACGAGAAAAGGCCCGCAAGGGUCGCCAGAGGACGGGUCCGCGUCCCAUCAGCUAGUUGGUGAGGUAAUGGCUCACCAAGGCGAAGACGGGUAGCUGGUCUGAGAGGAUGAUCAGCCACACUGGAACUGAGACACGGUCCAGACUCCUACGGGAGGCAGCAGUGGGGAAUAUUGCGCAAUGGGCGAAAGCCUGACGCAGCCACGCCGCGUGAGCGAUGAAGGUCUUCGGAUCGUAAAGCC
rnacentral:rRNA from 1 species